GCUGCCAGUGGGGUUUGCAGAGGGCUAAGCUAGCACAUCCCCUGUGGAAGGUGCCUUCUGAUGAUUUGGGAUUCGCAUGCCAGGUUUUCAGAGGGCUCUGACAUUUCAGCCCUGUGAAGAGCGCUUUGCAGUGGUCUGGUUUUGACUAAAUCCUGGUCUUAAAAAUGAGUCCCUUCUUCCCACCUCCCACGCUGCUUGGGAGAAGGAGUCACAGCCUGGGCACGCACGGGUGGUUUGAGCUCAUCUUGUCCCAAGUCAUUGAAGAAAUUGCUGAGGAUUUAACAGCACUUGCAGGUCUGGGAGCUGAACAGCAGAAGCUUCUGCAUCUCAUUCUCAGGAAGAUGCAGCAGAGAUGAGUCCCCCUCUCUACAUAGAAAAAGCAGCAGCAAUGAACCUAACAGCAAAAGCAAGCUCUGCAGGAAUCCUGGAUCUCCGUGAAUAGAUGGAAUUGAAAUUUAAAGAUAUCGUCCAAAUAGAAGGAGAGCAGCAGUAAGGAAAGCAGACCCGGUCUCCUCCAGUAACCCAUUUUCUGGAUCCUGCCAGCGACCAGAAGCCCGGCUUCACGGCGCUGACCAAUUCAUCUUCCCUCGGUGCAGCCGGUCUCCUGCGUUUCUGCUGUCAAGCCCGGAGCCCCGAGUUUGCAAGGCUCCCAGCUAGGCUUGCUGGGAAGGCGGAUCCAGCCGCUAAAGCCCAGCUGUGUGUGGGGUCCGCCCAGGAACUGCAGUUUAUGAACAAACUAAGCCCGACUCUCCUCUCGAAAUAUAUACAAAUAUGGGAGGGGGGGAGCCGGGGGAAGAAGCCUGGCUCCGAGAAAAAGAGUUCGAUUUUUUUUUUUUUUUCCGAUGACAACGCGGAGCUGCUCCCAGCUCCGUACGGCCCAAGGAUCUUUGAAGGGGACCUAAUGUCUGCUGCAUGCAUCUAAUCAAAAAGGCAUGGGUACUCCUGCAUGCCUCUUUCAUCUGAAUAAAACACGGAAGGUAACGCUUCAA